rnacentral:rRNA from 1 species
GAUGAACGCUAGCUACAGGCUUAACACAUGCAAGUCGAGGGACCGGCGCACGGGUGAGUAACACGUAUCCAACCUGCCCUUUACUCGGGGAUAGCCUUUCGAAAGAAAGAUUAAUACCCGAUAUAAAGGAUGGGGAUGCGUUCCAUUAGGUUGUUGGUGAGGUAACGGCUCACCAAGCCUUCGAUGGAUAGGGGUUCUGAGAGGAAGGUACCCCUGAAUGGAAGUAGGACCCGAGCCAAACGCCUACGAGGGGCAGGAGUUAGGAGGAUUGGUCGAUGUGCGCUAGCAUGAACCAGCCAAGUAGCGGAAAGGAUGAAGGAGUAUGGGUCGUCAACUUCAUGUAUGUAAGAAUAUUUACUAUAUGAAUAAGGAUCGGCUAACUCCGUGCCAGCAGCCGCGGUAAUAC